CCAGACUCCUACGGGAGGCAGCAGUGAGGAAUAUUGGUCAAUGGUCGGGAGACUGAACCAGCCAAGCCGCGUGAGGGAGGAAGGUACAGAGUAUCGUAAACCUCUUUUGUCAGGGAACAAAGACUGGGACGCGUCCCCGGAUGAGUGUACCUGAAGAAAAAGCAUCGGCUAACUCCGUGCCAGCAGCCGCGGUAAUACGGAGGAUGCGAGCGUUAUCCGGAUUUAUUGGGUUUAAAGGGUGCGCAGGCGGUCUGUUAAGUCAGCGGUAAAAAUUCGGGGCUCAACCCCGUCGUGCCGUUGAAACUGAUGUUCUUGAGUGGGCGAGAAGUAUGCGGAAUGCGUGGUGUAGCGGUGAAAUGCAUAGAUAUCACGCAGAACUCCGAUUGCGAAGGCAGCAUGCCGGCUCCACACUGACGCUGAGGCACGAAAGCGUGGGUAUCGAACAGGAUUAGAUACCCCGGUAA
rnacentral:rRNA from 1 species